CCUACGGGAGGCAGCAGUGGGGAAUUUUGGACAAUGGGCGAAAGCCUGAUCCAGCAAUGCCGCGUGAGUGAAGAAGGCCUUCGGGUUGUAAAGCUCUUUUGUCAGGGAAGAAACGGUGAAAGCUAAUAUCUUUUGCUAAUGACGGUACCUGAAGAAUAAGCACCGGCUAACUACGUGCCAGCAGCCGCGGUAAUACGUAGGGUGCAAGCGUUAAUCGGAAUUACUGGGCGUAAAGCGUGCGCAGGCGGUUUUGUAAGUCUGAUGUGAAAUCCCCGGGCUCAACCUGGGAAUUGCAUUGGAGACUGCAAGGCUAGAAUCUGGCAGAGGGGGGUAGAAUUCCACGUGUAGCAGUGAAAUGCGUAGAUAUGUGGAGGAACACCGAUGGCGAAGGCAGCCCCCUGGGUCAAGAUUGACGCUCAUGCACGAAAGCGUGGGGAGCAAACAGGAUUAGAUACCCUGGUAGUCCACGCCCUAAACGAUGUCUACUAGUUGUCGGGUCUUAAUUGACUUGGUAACGCAGCUAACGCGUGAAGUAGACCGCCUGGGGAGUACGGUCGCAAGAUUAAAACGUCAAAUUGAAAUUGACGG
rnacentral:rRNA from 1 species